GGAGAGGUGGCCGAGUGGUUGAAGGCACACGCUUGGAAAGCGUGCAUAGGUGAAAGCCUAUCGCGGGUUCGAAUCCCGCUCUCUCCGCCA
rnacentral:tRNA from 1 species